rnacentral:sRNA from 1 species
CUCACGAGUCCGGGGCCCAAGUCCCAGACGCUACCCAUGGAGGCGUCCAGCGAGCCGCGGCUGGAUGCUAAGUCCGAGGUCACCAACCAGCUUGUAGAUUUUCAGUGGAAACUGGGUAUGGCUGUGAGCUCAGACACUUGCAGAUCUCUUAAGUAUCCUUAUGUUGCAGUGAUGCUAAAAGUGGCAGAUCAUUCAGGCCAAGUAAAGACCAAGUGCUUUGAAAUGACGAUUCCACAGUUUCAGGUUUGUGAUUUAACUCAUCCAGUUUUAGCUCAGCUUUUCUGUAAUCGUCGCAUAAAAAGAUGUAUAAAAUCUUUCUAUGGGAAAACUUUAAUGGUUUUUAUUUGUAGAUUGAUAUGCUCUACAUUUACUAGUAGUAUAUGCAAGAGACAUGAAUUUGUCUUCUUUGGGAAUUGGAUAAAUUAUUUUCAAUAUAAUGUGCUGAAUUUGUGUACUGCGCCAUUUGAUCGCUUGAACAGUACUCCUCUCUGAGUAUAUUUAGGAAAGUUUUAUCUUCAGUGGCAGGAUAUUUA